UACGGAGGGGGCUAGCGUUGUUCGGAAUUACUGGGCGUAAAGCGCACGUAGGCGGCUUUGCAAGUUAGAGGUGAAAGCCCGGGGCUCAACUCCGGAAUUGCCUUUAAAACUGCAUCGCUAGAAUUGUGGAGAGGUAAGUGGAAUUCCGAGUGUAGAGGUGAAAUUCGUAGAUAUUCGGAAGAACACCAGUGGCGAAGGCGACUUACUGGACACAUAUUUGACGCUGAGGUGCGAAAAGCGUGGGGGAGCAAAACAGG
rnacentral:rRNA from 1 species